UAGGUGAAGUCAAUGAUCCCAUGCUGCCAAGAAAAGCCUCUAGCGAGCUUCGAGCGGCCCGUACCCCAAACCGACACAGGUGGUCAGGUAGAGAAUACCGAGGCGAUCGGGCGAACUGUGGUUAAGGAACUCGGCAAAUUACCCCCGUAACUUCGGGAGAAGGGGGGCCACAGACUGUCAUACCCCACGCGGGUGGCAGCAGUAGGUGGCCGCAGAGACCAGGGGGAAGCGACUGUUUACUAAAAACACAGGUCCGUGCGAAGUCGUAAGACGAUGUAUACGGACUGACGCCUGCCCGGUGCUGGAACGUUAAGGGGACCGGUUAGUCCGCAAGGGCGAAGCUGAGAACUUAAGCGCCAGUAAACGGCGGUGGUAACUAUAACCAUCCUAAGGUAGCGAAAUUCCUUGUCGGGUAAGUUCCGACCUGCACGAAUGGCGUAACGACUUCCCUACUGUCUCAACCACAGGCCCGGCGAAAUUGCACUACGAGUAAAGAUGCUCGUUACGCGCGGAAGGACGGAAAGACCCCGGGACCUUCACUAUAGCUUGACAUUGGUAUCCGAAUUUAAUUGUGUAGGAUAGGUGGGAGGCUUUGAUCCGCGGACGCCAGUCCGUCGGGGAGCCAACGUUGAAAUACCACUCUGUUGACUUUGGGUAUCUAACUUCGGACCGUGAUCCGGUUCAGGGACAGUGUCUGGUGGGUAGUUUAACUGGGGCGGUUGCCUCCUAAAAUGUAACGGAGGCGCCCAAAGGUUCCCUCAGCCUGGUUGGCAAUCAGGUGUUGAGUGCAAGUGCACAAGGGAGCUUGACUGUGAGACUGACAGGUCGAGCAGGGACGAAAGUCGGGACUAGUGAUCCGGCACCUGCGAGUGGAAGCGGUGUCGCUCAACGGAUAAAAGGUACCCCGGGGAUAACAGGCUGAUCUUCCCCGAGAGUCCAUAUCGACGGGAUGGUUUGGCACCUCGAUGUCGGCUCGUCGCAUCCUGGGGCUGGAGUAGGUCCCAAGGGUUGGGCUGUUCGCCCAUUAAAGCGGCACGCGAGCUGGGUUUAGAACGUCGUGAGACAGUUCGGUCCCUAUCCUCCGCGCGCGUAGGAGACUUGAGAAGAGCUGUCCCUAGUACGAGAGGACCGGGACGGACGAACCUCUGGUGUGCCAGUUGUCAUGCCAAUGGCACGGCUGGUUAGCUACGUUCGGAAGGGAUAACCGCUGAAAGCAUCUAAGCGGGAAGCUCGCUUCAAGAUGAGGUCUCCCACCCCUUAGAGGGUUAAGGCCCCCAGCUAGACCACUGGGUUGAUAGGCCAGAAGUGUAAGCCUGGUAACAGGUUCAGCCGACUGGUACUAAUAGGCCGAGGACUUCGAAAA
rnacentral:rRNA from 1 species